rfam:Triticum aestivum genome assembly, contig: Triticum_aestivum_CS42_TGACv1_scaffold_500374_6BL
AAUCUACUUCCUCCGUCCGAAAAUACUUGUCCAAUAAAUGGAUGUAUCUAGAUAUAUUUAGUUUUAGAUACAUCCAUUUAUAUCCAUUUCUACGACAAGUAUUUUCGGACGGAGGGAGUAUAUU